CUCUCUCUCUCACACACACACACGCACACCCAUAGUUGCCAAACAAUAUACACACAUCCACCUAGAUAUUAAUUAUAAAUUUUAUAUACACACGUCUACCUAUAUACAGUUUAAAAAAACAUGAAGAAGGAAUUAAAAAACUUUAACUCUCUCUCUACGUUGCAGAGAGAGAAUUUUUUCUCUUCUGGGUUGGAUUAAUAUCUCUCGAUCUAGCCGAGUUCCUCAUCGGUUCUCGUUUGCUUCCUCUGUCUACGGGUUGAGAAAGGCAUCGCUUUGUUUUUGUCUCAUCCCAGUGUUUGUUUGCUCUUUGGCCUUGGGUUUGGGAGUAUAUAUGCUUUACUUGGUGUGUUUUUGCAGAUUUGGGUUUCAUGAAAUGGGAGCUUUUCAGAGAUCUGCGUAGGAGCUUUGUUUUCUUUAGAGCAAAACCGCUAGUUGAGAUCGGUGGUCAUCAUCUUCUGGAGGGGCAAUGCAUGCUUGGGGAUAGGUAACUUGGGGUUGUUGAGCUUGCUCAAUUAGGUGGCUGUUUGCCCCUCCCCCCAAGGCUAUAUAAGAUUGAGAUGCCAUGAACUCUACCAUCUCCCCCCCCCUACUACUAUUGUGGUGGUGGUGUCUCUCCAAUGGUCUCGUACCUAGUUAGUUUGAUGUCCAAGAUAAUACUUUUGAUCAGCAGGUGUUAUCCUACUUGCUGAGGUAGUGUCAUGGUGUCAACUUACUACUUCAUUCCAUAUUCGGUAACAGCCAAAAUGGUGGCUUUGUAUAGGUUCUAUCUCCAGUAACAACCUUAAGCGGCGGCUCUGUAAAGGGUUAGGUGUUUUGCUUGAGUAGGACUCCUAGGGUUUCUUAUCUGGGUUGGGUUUUGUUUUGUGGGUUUGGCUAGAAUAGGGCUUUGGGUUUUUUGCUGGACUUGGUUUGUUAUCUUGUUCUUUUUACUGGACCUUUGUAUCUUUGCCCAUUGGGCCAUGUUUAAUGCAAUGCUAUAUUUA
rnacentral:misc_RNA from 1 species